rnacentral:rRNA from 1 species
GAUGAACGCUGGCGGCGUGCCUAAUACAUGCAAGUCGAGCGAACGGACGAGAAGCUUGCUUCUCUGAUGUUAGCGGCGGACGGGUGAGUAACACGUGGAUAACCUACCUAUAAGACUGGGAUAACUUCGGGACACCGGAGCUAAUACCGGAUAAUAUUUUGAACCGCAUGGUUCAAAAGUGAAAGACGGUCUUGCUGUCACUUAUCGAUGGAUACGCGCUGCUUUGGCUGGUUGGUAAGGUAACGGCUUACCAAGGCAACUAGGCAUAGGCGACGGGAGAGGGUGAUCGGCCACACUGGAACUGAGACACCGUCCAGACUCCUGCGGGAGGCAGCAGUAGGGAAUCUGCCGCAAUGGGCGAGAGCCUUGCGGAGCAACGCCGCGUGAGUGAUGAAGGUCUUCGGAUCGUAAAACUCUGUUAUUAGGUAAGAACAGAUUUGGAAGUAACUGUGCACAUCUUGACGGUACCUAAUCAGAAAGCCACGGCUAACUACGUG